UGGGUUCAUGGUUGUCAAGCUUCUCCUCGCACAUUUCCAAGAACAUCAGGAUGGGCUUCUGCUUUAUGCAGAUAGGUGUGCUACAGCUGCUGAUGUUGAAGGAACUCACAAUCUGCCAUCAAGUCCACGACUCAUUGCCCUUGGAGACACCAAUAGCCUUCAGCAUUGGAUGGUAAGCCUGGAGGGUGAAGUGGUUUGUGAAGCACACAGCCUACAUUCCUGGCUGGUCUUGCUGCACUUUUUGCAAUGUUUUUUUAUUUUUAACCUCGAGUAUCCGGAUGAGGCCACAUGUACACUGUCCAUUUCUAACAGAAGGACAGGGAGACAGCUACAAUUAGGGAAGGUCAGAGAAGGAUUGUAUGUCCACCAAAUCUGUCCUUCUCAUCCUGUCUUUCUUUAACUGAUAUAAAUGCAGUUAAAUUUAAUGAAAAUGUCACGUCUUAAUAAAAAUUUUUCCUUUCAGUAUCUUCUAGCAACCCCUGAAUGGUUUCUGGUGGUGUUCAGGAGAAAGCCCUACUAAAUACUUAUUUUGGC